rnacentral:rRNA from 1 species
GCAUACGGCCAUUCCACCCUGAACACGGCUGGUCUCGGAAGCUAAGCAGGGUUGGCCUUGGUUAGUACUUGGAUGGGAGAGUUCCUGGGAAUACCAGGUGCUGUAAGCU